AGAGUUUGAUCAUGGCUCAGAGUGAACGCUGGCGGCGUGCCUAAUACAUGCAAGUCGAACGAUGAAGCUUCUAGCUUGCUAGAGGUGGAUUAGUGGCGCACGGGUGAGUAAUAUAUAGCUAACCUGCCCCUUAGAGGAGAACAACAGUUAGAAAUGACUGCUAAUACUCCAUACUCCUUCUUAACACAAGUUAAGUCGGGAAACGAAUUUUGCUAAGGGAUGGGGCUAUACUGUAUCAGUUUGUUGGUGGGGUAAUGGCCUACCAAGACUAUGACGCAUAACUGGUCUGAGAGGAUGAUCAGUCACACUGGAACUGAGACACGGUCCAGACUCCUACGGGAGGCAGCAGUAAGGAAUAUUGCGCAAUGGGCGAAAGCCUGACGCAGCAACGCCGCGUGGAGGAUGACACUUUUCGGAGCGUAAACUCCUUUUGUUAGGGAAGAACCAUGACAGUACCUAACGAAUAAGCACCGGCUAACUCCGUGCCAGCAGCCGCGGUAAUACGGGGGGUGCAAGCGUUACUCGGAAUCACUGGGCGUAAAGGGCGCGUAGGCGGACUAUCAAGUCUCUUGUGAAAUCUGGUGGCUUAACCAUCAAACUGCUUGGGAAACUGAUAGUCUAGAGUAAGGGAGAGGUAGAUGGAAUUCUUGGUGUAGGGGUAAAAUCCGUAGAGAUCAAGAGGAAUACCUAUUGCGAAAGCGAUCUACUAGAACUUAACUGACGCUGAGGCGCGAAAGCGUGGGUAGCAAACAGGAUUAGAUACCCUGGUAGUCCACGCCCUAAACGAUGUAUACUAGUUGUUGCUGUGCUAGACAUAGCAGUAAU
rnacentral:rRNA from 1 species